CCUACGGGGGGCAGCAGUGAGGAAUAUUGGUCAAUGGACGAGAGUCUGAACCAGCCAAGUAGCGUGAAGGAUGACUGCCCUAUGGGUUGUAAACUUCUUUUAUAUGGGAAUAAAAUGUUCCACGUGUGGGAUUUUGUAUGUACCAUAUGAAUAAGGAUCGGCUAACUCCGUGCCAGCAGCCGCGGUAAUACGGAGGAUCCGAGCGUUUUCCGGAUUUAUUGGGUUUAAAGGGAGCGUAGGUGGAUUGUUAAGUCAGUUGUGAAAGUUUGCGGCUCAACCGUAAAAUUGCAGUUGAAACUGGCAGUCUUGAGUACAGUAGAGGUGGGCGGAAUUCGUGGUGUAGCGGUGAAAUGCUUAGAUAUCACGAAGAACUCCGAUUGCGAAGGCAGUUCACUGGACUGCAACUGACACUGAGGCUCGAAAGUGUGGGUAUCAAACAGGAUUAGAUACCCCAGUAGUC
rnacentral:rRNA from 1 species